rnacentral:lncRNA from 1 species
UGGCUUGCAAUAAUUUUUUUGUUUUGCAUGUUGGGAAUUGACUGAAAAAAGUCUAUGUAAGAACUUAUAUUAGAAUUUAGGUCUAGGUUUUGUUUUACAAAAAUUAGUCAGCUUUAAUUUAUUUAACUGUUUAGAUAAGUUUUAUUUUACUGGAUGUAGGUUUGUAGAAUCUUGCUUUCAAUUCGUACAUACAAGAAAAAAGACUCAAAUUUAGACAGAAUUAAUUAUG